GUCGUCAGCUCGUGUCGUGAGAUGUUGGGUUAAGUCCCGCAACGAGCGCAACCCUUGUCAUUAGUUGCCAUCAUUUAGUUGGGCACUCUAAUGAGACUGCCGGUGACAAACCGGAGGAAGGUGGGGAUGACGUCAAGUCCUCAUGGCCCUUAUGGGUAGGGCUUCACACGUCAUACAAUGGUCGGUACAGAGGGUUGCCAAGCCGCGAGGUGGAGCCAAUCCCUUAAAGCCGAUCGUAGUCCGGAUCGUAGUCUGCAACUCGACUACGUGAAGUCGGAAUCGCUAGUAAUCGCAGAUCAGCAUGCUGCGGUGAAUACGUUCCCGGGUCUU
rnacentral:rRNA from 1 species